rnacentral:rRNA from 1 species
CAGUCGCCACGGUAAUACGUAGGGUGCGAGCGUUAAUCGGAAUUACUGGGCGUAAAGCGUGCACAGGCGGUUGUGUAAGACAGGUGUGAAAUCCCCGGGCUUAACCUGGGAACUGCGCUUGUGACUGCACAGCUAGAGUAUGGCAGAGGGGGAUGGAAUUCCGCGUGUAGCAGUGAAAUGCGUAGAUAUGCGGAGGAACACCGAUGGCGAAGGCAAUCCCCUGGGCCUGCACUGACGCUCAUGCACGAAAGCGUGGGGAGCAAACAGGAUUAGAUACCCCUGUAGUCCCUGUCUCUUAUAC